AGACCCGAAACCCGGUGAUCUAGCCAUGGGCAGGUUGAAGGUUGGGUAACACUAACUGGAGGACCGAACCGACUAAUGUUGAAAAAUUAGCGGAUGACCUGUGGCUGGGGGUGAAAGGCCAAUCAAACCGGGAGAUAGCUGGUUCUCCCCGAAAGCUAUUUAGGUAGCGCCUCGUGAAUUCAUCUCCGGGGGUAGAGCACUGUUUCGGCUAGGGGGCCAUCCCGGCUUACCAACCCGAUGCAAACUGCGAAUACCGGAGAAUGUUAUCACGGGAGACACACGGCGGGUGCUAACGUCCGUCGUGAAGAGGGAAACAACCCAGACCGCCAGCUAAGGUCCCAAAGUCAUGGUUAAGUGGGAAACGAUGUGGGAAGGCCCAGACAGCCAGGAUGUUGGCUUAGAAGCAGCCAUCAUUUAAAGAAAGCGUAAUAGCUCACUGGUCGAGUCGGCCUGCGCGGAAGAUGUAACGGGGCUAAACCAUGCACCGAAGCUGCGGCAGCGAACGUAUCACCCAAGACAACUUUACGGAGUUGACGAUUGACGGAGCGAAGCGACGUCAAAGCGUUCAUUAAAGUCGAGUUGGCUUAGGGAUACGUUCGUUGGGUAGGGGAGCGUUCUGUAAGCCUGUGAAGGUGUGUCGUGAGGCAUGCUGG
rnacentral:rRNA from 3 species